GGCCGGCGGCUGCCCUAGUGCGGGGCCCGAGGCUGGAGUGCGCGGCGGACGCCAAGCCUGGUGCGAGGGGCCGAGGCGGCCUGGGGAGCCCCGGGAAACUUUGUGCUCGCGAGAAGCGGACCCCGCACCCGCGCUGCCCUUGGGGAUGCGCGACUCUGCGCGGCUGCGGCGCGGACCCGGAGCCCGGGCGGGCAGGCGCUCCGAGACAGAGUCUUGCUAUGUUGCCCGGGCUGGUCUGAACUCCUAGCCUCAAGUGAUCCUCCCACCUCAGCCUCCCAAAGUGCUGGGAUUACAGGUGUGAGCCACACACCCAGGUA
rnacentral:lncRNA from 10 species